UGCUUCUCUGGACAGUGCCCUCCC
rnacentral:piRNA from 2 species